CACUGGCGGUGGCUCCCUGGUCCUGCUGUCCCUUUCAAACUGGCUUUUUCUCAUUCCUUUGACUCCGCCAGACUUCGUUGCCCCCCAUGACCUGGUGUUGGGUCUGAUCACCCCAACAUUCCUGGCUGCCCAAUGUGUGACAACGAAGACCUGGGUGAAGGAAUGCUAGAGUGUGUGAAAGCGUAGGACGCAUCGUCAAAGGACACCCGAGGACAUCUCAAAGAAGCUCGGCGGGAAAGCUAAGCAAUUGGAAGAACCAAGAACUAAGAUCAGAAUUGUUUGAAUCAUCAGAAUCGUCUCUUUUGAAAAAUCGAUUCAUCAAAUGAAUCUUCAGCCAACAACUGUUCAAGAAGGAUGUAAAUAUCACAGUGUUAGAUGAACUUUCUCAUUGACACCUGACAGGAAGAGCCUCUGUAUUGGACCACCAUGUUUGUGCUCACUGUGUAGUAACAAACCAACACACCAAAAUAGCGGGAGUUGCCACUGACAAAGAGUUGAAUAAUCAAAUGAUGGCCAAAGGAGGAGGUGUGAAUUCAGAGGCAGAAUUACUCCCCAUUUUCUUCCCUCUCCUGUGUCUCUCCCCUGAGGCUUCUCUGCAAAGCAUCACUGCCCAGCUUAGUGUCUGUCCUGGGCACUGGUAAUAAUGUGGUACCAUUCAUCCUCUCCUAGCAUUUGAUCACUCAUCAGGAGCCCUCAGCUCCAUGGGGAAGAGGACAGAAGAAACCAGUUCCGAGAAGUAAAGCUUUGGAGGUUACAAAAUUAGCAAUAGAAGCUGGGUUCCACCAUAUAGAUUCUGCUCAUUUAUACAAUAAUGAGGAGCAGGUUGGACUGGCCAUCCGAAGCAAGAUUGCAGAUGGCAGUGUGAAGAGAGAAGACAUAUUCUACACUUCAAAGCUUUGGUCCACUUUUCAUCGACCAGAGUUGGUCCGACCAGCCUUGGAAAACUCGCUGAAAAAAGCUCAAUUGGACUAUGUUGACCUCUAUCUUAUUCAUU
rnacentral:sRNA from 1 species